CGUAGGGGGCAAGCGUUGUCCGGAUUUAUUGGGCGUAAAGAGCGUGUAGGCGGCCAUGCAGGUCCGUUGUGAAAACUCGAGGCUCAACCUCGAGACGCCGAUGGAAACCGCAUGGCUAGAGUCCGGAAGAGGAGAGUGGAAUUCCUGGUGUAGCGGUGAAAUGCGCAGAUAUCAGGAAGAACACCCGUGGCUAAGGCGGCUCUCUAGUACGGUACUGACGCUGAGACGCGAAAGCGUGGGGAGCGAACAGGAUUAGAUACCCUGGUAGUCCACGCCGUAAACGAUGGGUGCUAGGUGUGGGGGGUGUCGACUCCCUCCGUGCCGAAGCUAACGCAUUAAGCACCCCGCCUGGGGAGUACGGCCGCAAGGCUA
rnacentral:rRNA from 1 species